rnacentral:rRNA from 1 species
CGACGUAAAGAACUUGCCUCACAGCUAGGGACAACAUUUAGAAAUGAAUGCUAAUACCUGAUAUUAUGAUUUUAAGGCAUCUUAGAAUUAUGAAAGCUAUAAGCACUGUGAGAGAGCUUUGCGUCCCAUUAGCUAGUUGGAGAGGUAACAGCUCACCAGGGCGAUGAUGGGUAGCCGGCCUGAGAGGGUGAACGGCCACAAGGGGACUGAGACACGGCCCUU